CCUACGGGGGGCAGCAGUGGGGAAUAUUGGGCAAUGGGCGCAAGCCUGAACCAGCAACGCCGCGUGAAGGAAGAAGGCUUUCGGGUUGUAAACUUCUUUUUAGAGGGAAGUGCAGAAGACGAUACCUCUUGAAUAAUCCACGGCUAACUACGUGCCAUCAGCCACGGUAAUACGUAGGUGGCCAGCGUUGUCCGGAUUUACUGGGUGUAAAGGGCGUGCAGCCGGGAAGACAAGUCAGAUGUGAAAUCCCGCGGCUCAACCGCGGAAUUGCAUUUGAAACUGGUUUUCUUGAGUACCGGAGAGGUGAUCGGAAUUCCUGGUGUAGCGGUGAAAUGCGUAGAUAUAAGGAAGAACACCAGUGGCGAAGGCGGAUGACUGGACGGCAACUGACGGUGAGGCGCGAAAGCGUGGGGAGCAAACAGGAUUAGAUACCCGUGUAGUC
rnacentral:rRNA from 1 species